CAGUAGCAAAACUAUGCCAAGUAUUUGCUGUCAAACAAAAAUCAGAGCAAAAGAAACAUUUUUACCCUAAUUAGGCAUAUAAAAAAUAUAGUUGACGGUAUUUCAGAAUAAAAACUGUACAAAGUAUUUACCGAGAAAUCCGAUAUGAUAGUAAAAGAAAAAAUUGUUGCGUUGAUUAAGUAUCGAAUAUGGAAUAAAAAAUUCGAAAUACGAAAAAUUGUGAGCAUGCAGAAGCAUGACAAGCCCGGAUGGAUUCCAGAUGAGCUGUCCCUAUGAGAAAGUUUUUUGGCAGCCGAACAACAAGGAUACAAACUUCAAGCCCAGCCUAAUUAGACAAAAGCCCCAGCCACAGACGAAAAAGUUGGGUACACAUUUUGUAACUAUGUGAAUGCUUAACUAGGUAGAAUUAUUUAGGAUAUGUUCAGCUUUAACAACAGGAUGAACUCCUUUUCAAGGAAGUCUUUAAGAGAGCUGCCCAACUAUGCAGUUAACCAUUUGUUUGACUCAAUUCUUUUGCUUUUUCCUAUUGAAAUAUAUAUUUAUAGUAGGAAUACAUUGCGUAUCGAAAUAGGAUCAAAAGAUCAAGAGAUUCACAAAUCGGAAGAGGUGCAUAGCUCCUAAAUUUCUCUGUAAAUUUCUUAGUAAAGCAUACAAAUUUCUGAGCCCUAAACUGUGGACAAUGAAUUAAAUCGAAACGAACAUCAAGUGAAAGCCUAAAA